rnacentral:ribozyme from 1 species
CCCCAGCAAUGGGCAGGCACCUCUCCGUGGUGCUGGUGGCUAGUACCCGAGUAUUUCAAGAGCAUUCGAUGAAGCAAAGACCUGC